rnacentral:rRNA from 1 species
UACGUAGGGGGCAAGCGUUGUCCGGAAUCAUUGGGCGUAAAGCGCGUGUAGGCGGCUCGAUCAGUCUGCUGUGAAAGUCCGGGGCUCAACCCCGGAAAGCCGGUGGAUACUGUCGAGCUAGAGUGCGGAAGAGGCGAGUGGAAUUCCUGGUGUAGCGGUGAAAUGCGCAGAUAUCAGGAAGAACACCCGUGGCGAAGGCGGCUCUCUGGGACGGUACUGACGCUGAGACGCGAAAGCGUGGGGAGCGAACAGG